rnacentral:rRNA from 1 species
UACGAAGGGGGCUAGCGUUGCUCGGAAUCACUGGGCGUAAAGCGCACGUAGGCGGAUCUUUAAGUCAGGGGUGAAAUCCCGAGGCUCAACCUCGGAACUGCCCUUGAUACUGGGGAUCUCGAGUCCGGAAGAGGUUGGUGGAACUCCGAGUGUAGAGGUGAAAUUCGUAGAUAUUCGGAAGAACACCAGUGGCGAAGGCGGCCAACUGGUCCGGCACUGACGCUGAGGUGCGAAAGCGUGGGGAGCAAACAGG